UAGGGUGACUGCAGCCCCGGUAAGUUCCUGCCCGGGAAAGCUCAAGGCUGUCAAAAGAACUCUUUGCUCCAGCCAGCGCAUGAAGCUGUGGAGAAUGAUGCUGCUCCAAUUUGAUCCAAUACAGUAUUUGGAAUGCAUGGAAAAGAUCACUGAGGCCUUUACCUGAUGCCUUACUUCUGAAGGAUAUUUCUCCACAUAAUCAGCCCUCGGUUUUAUGGUGAAUGCAGCUGUUGAAGGAAGCAGCUCUCUGUAUUACUUGCUGACUAUCCUGCCAACAGGAAUUUGGGUGUGCAGAAAUGACAUCAAAUUCUUUCCACUGGGAAAGUGCUAGCAACAAACAAGAGGUUAAAAAGCUUUUGAAAGCACAGCAAUUUGGGUGUGAAUAUCCAUUCUGAGGUGGAUGAAUUAGUUCCUGAUAAAGUAUUGGCUGUUUAUUUGAAACUAGUUGAGGAAAAGAAAACAUGCCUUUAAAAAGCUCUUCAAAUACAUAUGUAUCCUAAAUUUUA